UAGGGAWUCUUCCGCAAUGGGCGAAAGCCUGMCGAAGCAAUGCCGCGUGAGUGAUGAAGGUUUUSGGWUSGUAAAGYUCUGUUGCCAGGRAAGAMCGCUUGGGAGAGUAACUGCUCUCAAGGUGMCGGUMCCUGAGAAGAAGCACSGGCUAACUCCGUGCCAGCAGCCGCGGUAAUACGUAGGGGGCAAGCGUUGUCCGGAAUUAUUGGGCGUAAAGCGCGCGCAGGCGGUCAUUUAAGUCUGGUGUUUAAUCCCGGGGCUCARCCCCGGAUCGCACUGGAAACUGGGUGACUUGAGUGCAGAAGAGGAGAGUGGAAUUCCACGUGUAGCGGUGAAAUGCGUAGAUAUGUGGAGGAACACCAGUGGCGAAGGCGACUCUCUGGGCUGUAACUGACGCUGAGGCGCGAAAGCGUGGGGAGCAAMCAGGAUUAGAUACCCUGGUAGUCCACGCCGUAAACGAUGAGUGCUAGGUGUUAGGGGUUUCGAUACCCUUGGUGCCGAAGUUAACACAUUAAGCACUCCGCCUGGGGAGUACGGUCGCAAGACUG
rnacentral:rRNA from 1 species